CUUCCGGCGUCGGAUGGAUCCAGGAGCGGCUCAGGAUGUCGGGGACGUCAGUGGGACCUGUAUAAGCGCCGGGAGGACAUCCUUCGCAGAGGACCAGGGCCAGGCCACCGGACCUCCUAAGCCCAAGUGCCAUGCUGGUGAGGCGGAGUAGAAGGAGCCCUGGAGCAGUGGACGCCGAUCGUGGCAAUGAGGCUGGAGGCAGAGCGCCAGGGUAAGCCACAGACUCCCAUCAUCCCAGUGGUAGCAAUGAGGGUUUGGUCAGUGCUGUUGCGGUCCUUCCAGGGGCCAGGAAAAACAUGCAGCGUCAGGCUGGCCAGGCAGAUUGCAGGGCAAUAGUGGGUGGCCCUAGGUGGAAGUACCACGGGGGUCGCUCUCAGGUGGCACGAUCACCCACGCCUAAGCAGGGCGGCCAGCUGGUAUGCACGUCUGAUGGUAGCAUGUCAGACGGUGAGAAUGAGCAGUGCAAGGGCGGUCCCUUGUAGGACAGCGCAGUGGAGGAGGGCGCACAGGGGAACGGCGUCACAGGGGAACAGUUGGUCUCUUCUACCAGGGUUCACAGUGCCUCCAGGUCAGCUAGCAGGAGCCCCAGCAAUAGGAGUACUCCUUGCGGCCGUUUCGGUCUGGACAAAGGACGCAGAGCUAGUAAAGGUGGCAAUCAGGAGCGAUCGAGGAUAGGAAAGGGAGGGAUAUCUGUGGAUGGUUUACCCAGAUGUUUCUUAUUUCAGUGCUCCUGCCUCAUCACCUGCGGUGCCUG